GCGCCAGCCGACACCCAACUUUAUUUUUCUAAGGUGACCUCGGA
rnacentral:rRNA from 1 species